UACGGAGGGGGCAAGCGUUAUUCGGAAUUAUUGGGCGUAAAGGGCGCGUAGGCGGCUAGAUGUGUCAAAGGUGAAAUCCCUCGGCUCAACUGAGGAACUGCCUUUGAAACUGUCUGGCUUGAGGCCGGGAGAGGGUAGCGGAAUUCCCAGUGUAGCGGUGAAAUGCGUAGAUAUGUGGAGGAACACCGAUGGCGAAGGCAGCCCCCUGGGUUAACACUGACGCUCAUGCACGAAAGCGUGGGGAGCAAACAGG
rnacentral:rRNA from 1 species